CUGAAGCAGCAGCAGCAGCAGCAGCAGCAGUCACCUACCUAGGCUGCAGCUAUCAGCAAGGCCAGCCCAGAGAAAGAAAGGCAACAAUAGACCAACAAAGAUGCCAUAGGCCACGCCUUCCUGCUUUAUCCUCCUCCUAUUGUGGACUCUCCAUGGGAAGUGUCAAUGUUACUUGUUUUUAUAUCCUCCGAGCAAGAGAAAAUCCAGUGACUGAAAAAGAAUAAGAAGAAAAACACUGACCAAGGCAAUAAUUCCAAGAAGUCAAAAAUUAAGGCCUGAGAGGAAGAAGGCAGACUAAAGAAAGUAGGUAAGACAGUGACCUGAACGAAAGUGCUGGCUCCAUGCUCUGUGACGUUGGGCGUCCUCACUGACCUCGGAAGCAUGGUCUUGGUGACACUGGUCAGGUGCAUGAAGUGUUAGAAAAUUUUAUUAAAGAUUCCAUGGUUGCAUCUC
rnacentral:lncRNA from 10 species